CAGUAGCCGCGGGAAUACGUAGGUCCCGAGCGUUGUCCGGAUUUAUUGGGCGUAAAGGGAGCGCAGGCGGUUAGAUAAGUCUGAAGUUAAAGGCUGUGGCUUAACCAUAGUACGCUUUGGAAACUGUUUAACUUGAGUGCAGAAGGGGAGAGUGGAAUUCCAUGUGUAGCGGUGAAAUGCGUAGAUAUAUGGAGGAACACCGGUGGCGAAAGCGGCUCUCUGGUCUGUAACUGACGCUGAGGCUCGAAAGCGUGGGGAGCGAACAGGAUUAGAUACCCGCGUAGUCCCUGUCUCUUAUACA
rnacentral:rRNA from 1 species